rnacentral:rRNA from 1 species
UACGGGGGGGGCAAGCGUUGUUCGGAAUUACUGGGCGUAAAGGGCUCGUAGGCGGCCAACUAAGUCAGACGUGAAAUCCCUCGGCUUAACCGGGGAACUGCGUCUGAUACUGUCGGGCUAGAGUGCGGAAGAGGCGAGUGGAAUUCCUGGUGUAGCGGUGAAAUGCGCAGAUAUCAGGAGGAACACCAAUUGCGAAGGCAGCUCGCUGGGACGUAACUGACGCUGAGACGCGAAAGCGUGGGGAGCAAACAGG